rnacentral:tRNA from 1 species
GGAUACAUGGUUAAGUGGGAAAAAGAAGUGGAUUGUUAAUCCGUAGUAUGGAUAAUAUGUAAGAGGGUUCAAAUCUCUCUGUCCA